rnacentral:rRNA from 1 species
CCUACGGGCGGCAGCAGUGGGGAAUAUUGGGCAAUGGAGGAAACUCUGACCCAGCAACGCCGCGUGAAUGAUGAAGGUCUUCGGAUUGUAAAGUUCUUUUCUAAGGGAAGAAGAAAGUGACGGUACCUUAGGAAUAAGCCUCGGCUAACUACGGGACAGCAGCCGCGGUAAUACGUAGGAGGCGAGCGUUAGCCGGAAUGACUGGGCGUAAAGGGUGCGUAGGUGGGUUUGCAAGUUAGUAGCGUAACUCCAAGGCUCAACCUUGGAACUCCUACUCAAACUGUUGGACUUGAGUGCAGGAGGGGCGACCGGACUUCCUAGUGUAGCGGUGUACUGCGUAGAUAUUAGGAGGCACACCAGUGGCGAAGGCGGGUUGCUAGACUGUAACUGCCACUGAGGCACGAACGCGUGGGGAGCACACAGGAUUAGAUACCCCAGUAGUC